rnacentral:rRNA from 2 species
AGAUACAAGAUUCCCUUAGUAUGGCGAAUGAAAUGGGAAAAGCUCAAAUUUAAAAUCAUUAUUUAUAAUGAAUUGUAGUUUAGAAAAAUAUAAUUACGUAUUAAAUAAUCGAAUAAUUUUAUUUGGAAAAAUAAAGCAUAGAGGGUAAAACUCCCGUAUGUAUCGACUUAUUUAAUAUUAUAAUUUUAUUUUUAAGAGUCAGAUUGUUUGGGAUUACAGUCUAAAUUAGGAGGUAAAUUUCUUUUAAAGCUAAAUACAGACAAGAGACCGAUAGCGAACAAGUACCGUAAGGGAAAGAUGAAAUAGAACCUUGCAAAGGGGUUUAAAUAGCAAGUGAAAUCGUUAAAAGGGAAACAUUUUAAACUCAAAUCGUAAUUAUAAUAAAGUACUCUGUAUUUAAAUUAUAGUUAUAAAUAUUAAAAGCUUUUUGAAUUAAAUUAUAAACUUUAGUAUAAGAUAUAAAAAAUUAUAUUUAUAUAAUUUCUUAAUAAAAAUAUUAAAGCUCGAUUUAAUUCGGAAAGUCAAUCGUAUGAUGUUUUAAUAAAAAGAGUGUUAAAAUGACCCGUCUUGAAACACGGACCAAGGAGUCUAACAUAUUUACGAGUAUUAUAAAAAAUAUAAAUUAUAAUGCGCAAUGAAAGUAAAUUUAAAGAUAAGAAAAGCUCUUUUAGGGUUUUGCACUAUCGACCGAUUAAAUAAUAUUCUUAUUAUUAGUUUGAGUUGGAGUAAAUAUGUUGGGACCCGAAAGAUGGUGAACUAUGCUUGAAUAGGGUGAAGCCAGAGGAAACUCUGGUGGAAGCUCGUNGCGAUUCUGACGUGCAAAUCGAUCGUAAAAUUUGAGUAUAGGGGCGAAAGACUAAUCGAACC